rnacentral:lncRNA from 1 species
GGAAAGAGAAGUGCUGGAACAAACCUGGGCUGGGGGGUACCUUGAACUCGGGGUGCCUGGGUCCCAUCCCCACCGCGCUUUGAGCCCAGCGGGGGCCGACGAUGUGGUUUGCGAGCAAGAGCAGAAAUGUGGGGAUUUGUGUAAAAUCUCAUCUUUAAUGUUGACAACUCAUCAGAAAAUGUUAAGUGAGCCAAACAAAAGCAGGCCCCGGGUGCCGUAGUGGGAAAAAGAGGUACACCGUGGUCUGCACUCAGAACACCCAGAUCGGAGUCGGGACAGAAGAGUAACAGCCGUGCUACGAGGCAAAUCACUGACCGACGCGAGACGGCCUCCUCGCCGCAGCGGGGGAGGGGCGGGAUUAAAGGAGAAGAUGCGCUCAGCAUGUUAUAUUUAGCGGCCAACGCGCCGGAAGCGCUCGUUACCCGCAGUUACUACGGCGCCCCACGCGCGAGGGGCAGCCCCCACCCUAACCUCCUAGGCAGUGACCUUGAUCCCCUGUCUUCUUCCGCCUAGGGAAGAGACCCUCCCCCCCCGACCCUCCGCCUCCACCCCGCUGGCAAUGAUUAUGGCCCGGCCUCCUACCUUCUACCCUCAAGGAAGAGACCUCCCCGGCCUCCCACCUUCACUCCGCGGUCAGUGACCCCGACCCCCCGUCACUCCCCGAGGAAAGGAGCCCCCAAUCUUCGCCCCUGGGGAACGGGAGAGUUGGGGCGCACGCUGGCCUUCCCGCCCAGGGCCGGGGAAAGAUGUCCGGCAAGCUGCUUUA